UACGUAGGGGGCAAGCGUUGUCCGGAUUUAUUGGGCGUAAAGAGCUCGUAGGUGGUUCGGUAAGUCGGAUGUGAAAUCUCCAGGCUCAACCUGGAGGGGUCAUUCGAUACUGCCGUGACUAGAGUUCGGUAGGGGAGUGUGGAAUUCCUGGUGGAGCGGUGAAAUGCGUAGAUAUCAGGAGGAACACCGGUGGCGAAGGCGGGUCUCUGGGCCAUAACUGACGCUGAGGCGCGAAAGCGUGGGGAGCAAACGGG
rnacentral:rRNA from 1 species